GGCCUCGUAGCUCAGUUGGCUACAACGUUGGCUGUACUAAAGCCUUCCCCUCGAUGGCGUGGGUUCGAACCCCACCGAGGCCG
rfam:Schistocephalus solidus strain NST_G2 genome assembly, scaffold: SSLN_scaffold0009563